rnacentral:rRNA from 1 species
UGCGGAGGGGGCUAGCGUUGUUCGGACUUACUGGGCGUAAAGCGUACGUAGGCGGCUUUGUAAGUUAGAGGUGAAAGCCCGGGGCUCAACCCCGGAAUUGCCUUUAAGACUGCAUCGCUUGAAUCGCGGAGAGGUGAGUGGAAUUCCGAGUGUAGAGGUGAAAGUCGUAGAUAUUCGGAAGAACACCAGUGGCGAAGGCGGUUCACUGGACGCGUAUUGACGCUGAGGUACGAAAGCGUGGGGAGCAAACAGG